GCUGGGUGUGGUGGCAGGCACACCUGUAGUCCCAGCUACCUGGGGGGCUGAGGUGGGAGGAUCGCUGGAGCCUGGGAGGUCAAAGCUGCGGUGAGCCCAGAUUGUGCCACUGCACUCUAGCCUAGGUGACAGAGCGAGAUCCUGUCUCAU
rnacentral:SRP_RNA from 1 species